rnacentral:rRNA from 1 species
UAGGGAAUCUUCCACAAUGGACGCAAGUCUGAUGGAGCAACGCCGCGUGAGUGAAGAAGGUUUUCGGAUCGUAAAGCUCUGUUGUAAGAGAAGAACGUGUGUGAGAGUGGAAAGUUCACACAGUGACGGUAACUUACCAGAAAGGGACGGCUAACUACGUCCCAG